UACGUAGGGGGCAAGCGUUGUCCGGAUUUAUUGGGCGUAAAGAGCGUGUAGGCGGCUUUACAGGUCCGUUGUGAAAACUCGAGGCUCAACCUCGAGACGCCGGUGGAAACCGUACGGCUAGAGUCCGGAAGAGGAGAGUGGAAUUCCCGGUGUAGCGGUGAAAUGCGCAGAUAUCGGGAAGAACACCCGUGGCGAAGGCGGCUCUCUGGGACGGUACUGACGCUGAGACGCGAAAGCGUGGGGAGCAAACAGGG
rnacentral:rRNA from 1 species